UUGCUGGGGGAGGGAGGAGCAGCCCGGAGGUCCAGUGUGCUGCACAACGCUCAAACAGACACACCAUUCCUUGAUGCCUUAAAAAAAUCAGAUUAAAAAUGUCUAUCGAAGAUGUGUGGGGUUUUGUUUCUGGCCUCCAACUGGGCAAUCUCAAAGCAUGGGAUUGUCCCGGUGGAGAAACCCGGAGAACAUUACCGCUGGCUGCCCAUUUAAAGCAGCGGGUGUGUGGUGGGAAGGGGUGGGCCGCUAGGGUCCACCAGGCCAGGAGCUGCCGCCGAGAGGAGGAAAGGCUGCCGUAACCUCUGCACAACUUUGCAGACCGCAUGCCCUGCCUCGCCUGCUGGUAACCAAGACGGACAGCGGCUUCUUAAGUCCUUGCCUGGGAUGGUCCAGAAACCCCAGACGCCCUGCCGCCUUCUCACCUCCUCUGCUGAGAGCUACAGAUCUUUCGUUGACAGACGUGCAGGGAAGUGUGCAAACGGUGUGGAAACCCAGAGAAGACACCUCGCAGUUGCUGGUUGUGAUAUUCAGGCUGCAGACCUCAAGGGACUUCUCUCUGGAGCUCUGGAGCUCCCAACUACCUGUGAAGUGUCUAGGAAGAGUACCACUGCCCAUUUCAUUGCCAAAGUGGCCAGAAGUGAGGAUAUGGCCCAGAAACUAAAGUUCUUGCCACCCAAGCACGAGGACCUGAACUCGGAUCGCCAGAACAUGUGAAAAACGCUGGGUGUGGGGGUCUGGAGCAAUGGCUCAACAGUUAAGAGAACUUGUUAUUCCUGCAGCAGCCAGGAAAUCAGUUCCUUAGCCCCCACAUGGCGACUUGCAAUCAUCUGUAGGCGGACCUUCCUAUCCCGCCAGCUAGUUCCCAAAUAACCACAUAGACACUUAUUCAUGAUAAAUGUUUGACCGAUAGCUUAGUCUUGUCCCCAGCCUGCUCUUGUAACUCAAGCUAACCCAUUUCUCUUCACCUAUGUGCUGCCCAAGGCUCGUUUACCUCGUCUAUGACCUUCUCAUUCUGCUUCUUCCACAUCUGGCUUGCGACUCCUCAGACUUGGCUCUUCUACCCAGUAUGCUCUCUGCCCCCAAAAUCCUGCCUAGCUAUCAGUCGAUCAGUUUUUUCUUAACAAGGAGAGCAGCACAUCUUCUCAGUGCACAGAAGGAUCAUUCCAUAGCAAUCAUCCAUGAUUCCAGUUUCAAAAGAUCUGACACCCUCCUUCUGACCUCUGCUAGCACCGGGCACACACACGUGUGCAUACAUAGAGGCAGUCAAAACAUACAGGCUGGACACGGUAAUCUCAGCACUGAGGAGGUGGUGUAGGCUGAUCCCUAGAGCUCAUUGGGUUUCAGGUUCAGCAAGAGUCAGCCUUUCAGAUCCUUGCUCUUGGGAUGCAAAGGCAAGCAGAUCUCUUUGAGUCUAGGGCCAGCCUAGUCUACAGGGCAAGUUCCAGGUCAACCAGGACUACACAAUAAUACUGAGUCGAUAUAACAUAUAAUAAUAAUAACAAUGAGGAGGCAGAGAGAGACUGAGGAAGAUGCCUAAUAUUGACCUCUGGAGUCCACAGGCAGGCAUACACACACACACACACACAUCAGAGCUGCCACUUGACUCUUAGUUGUAGAAGUUUAUGACCUAUCAGAAAAAUGGAAAAACUGGCAUUUUCUUAUUUUUUUUUAUCUCUCCCCAAAUUCCACUCAGCCUUCCUCUUUGCUCUCCCUUGAAUCAGUGCUGUGAGCAGCUGGCACUGUCUUGGCAGCAUGACAGGAAACACUUUUCUUAGGGCACCCGUAUCCAAUGGGAACCAAGGAUGUUUAUUUCCUCCACCUGGCGCAGGGCCACAGGAAGCCCGGCAUUUGUAUCUGAAUCCCUUACCUUAAAGAACUUCUCGUCUUGUGCUAACACGGAAACAUUUCACUGGAAAGAAAUGAAAGGCACCUCCCACCCCACCCUGCAAUCUAUCUUCUGGAGAUGAUUGAGCAAUUUGAAAUAUAGUAAUUAUAAGUCACUAUCAAAUUGGCUAGCUCCAGAUCGAGGGAAUCAAAAAUUCAGCCUCCACCUCCUGUGUUUUAUUUCUGGAAAUACCUUCCUCUUAAUUACCCGUUUUAAAAAAAACACACACACAGCAUUAGGAAUUCAGAAAGGAUUUGAUUUGGGCACAGUUGAUGAGCACACAGACAGAGCCUACAGACAGAUUGAAGUUUUUCCUUUGAGCCAGCUUCCUACAGGUCACGGGGAUUAAGUAUUAGGGAGGGUUCUGACAUUGGGCUGAUUGUGUGAAGGAAGACAUAAGAAUGUGUGUUAAUGCUCAGCCUGAUGCUUGGCACAAAGAAAGUGACUAAUAAAUUACAAGUACCCCUAUUGCUAAGCACUAUCAUGAUCCUAACUUUUAUGAUAAUUAGCAUAAAUGAGCUAGCCUUAUUCUACAAAGUAUUUUCUAGUCUAUAGAGUAGGUGAACUAAAGCUACAUAUGCAUGUGUAUGAUAUACUGACAAUUCGAUUACAAAAACACAUCUAGCCUAGUAUUCUGACCUGCACUGGGACCCAGAGACCAUCCAAUACAGCACUCAAAUGGCCUUGCCUACCACAACAUUGCCAUUUUGUCUGUGGCCUUCCAUGGAGGUAAGCACUGUAAGAUUUGUCUCUGUUUCCUCCGCAAUAAAAUAAAAGGGUUGGGCUAGUUAAAGAGACUGGAAAAGUACCUCCAAGGAUCAGUUAGAUAAAACAAACGAACAAUAAAGUGCUGUGUCUGGGGGGAUCAGACCUGGCUGCUACUUGGCCUCAGCAAAUGGGGACAGUUGGAACCUUCUAUGGAGGCCGCCUUCUGCCCCAGAAUACGUGCAUUCAGCCUAACUUCAUAAGUAGCCCUGUGGUGUGUUUUCUUAAAGGAGGAGACAAGGAGGCUUCACUAGAAGUGUGUACCUAGUUACCCACGGAGGACAAAACUCUUAGGAGAACAGAGCGGCAUGGCUUUCAGGGACAGCAAGAUGUGUGUGCCUCUGUGGAACCCACCUUAAAACACAAAAAAUGAGCUGGUGGUUUCUGGAAGUCUCCUUUGUAACUGACUCUAUCACUUCAGUUUUUGUUUAUUUGUUUGUUUUGUUUUUCUAAAUGUGUCCUCAGUAAUUGUGGACCCCCAGUUUCUAUGGGAUGAGAAUCCGGCAAUUAGUGAGUUAAUAAAAAUUCUUCUCUAUAGGGUC